AGGUAUUAUCCACUACAAGAA
rnacentral:snRNA from 1 species